rnacentral:rRNA from 1 species
UACGAAGGGGGCGAGCGUUGUUCGGAUUUACUGGGCGUAAAGGGCGCGCAGGCGGCUCAUCAAGUCAGGCGUGAAAGCCCCGGGCUUAACCUGGGAAUUGCGUCUGGGACUGAUGGGCUAGAGAUCGGGAGAGGAGAGUGGAAUUCCCAGUGUAGAGGUGAAAUUCGUAGAUAUUGGGAAGAACACCAGUGGCGAAGGCGGCUACCUGGACCGGUUCUGACGCUGAGGCGCGAAAGCGUGGGUAGCAAACAGG